GAUGAACGCUGGCGGCGUGCCUAAUACAUGCAAGUCGAGCGAACGGACGCGAAGCUUGCUUCUCUGAUGUUAGCGGCGGACGGGUGAGUAACACGUGGAUAACCUACCUAUAAGACUGGGAUAACUUCGGGAAACCGGAUCUAAUACCGGAUGAUAUUUUGAACCGCAUUGUUCAAAAGUGAAAGACGGUCUUGCUGUCACUUAUAGAUGGAUCCGCGCUGCAUUAGCUAGUUGGUAAGGUAACGGCUUAGCAAGGCAACGAUGCAUAGCCGACCUGAGAGGGUGAUAGGCCACCCUGGAACUGAGACACCGUCCAGACUCCUACGGGAGGCACCAGUAGCGAAUCUUCCGCAAUGGGCGAAAGCCUGACGGAGCAACGCCGCGUGAGUGAUGAAGGUCUUCGGAUCGUAAAACUCUGUUAUUAGAGAAGAACAUAUGUGGAAGUAACUGUGCACAUCUUGACGGUACCUAAUAAGAAAGCCACGGCUAACUACGUG
rnacentral:rRNA from 1 species